rnacentral:rRNA from 1 species
UACGGGGGGGGUAAGCGUUGUUCGGAAUUACUGGGCGUAAAGGGCUUGUAGGUGGCCAACUAAGUCAGACGUGAAAUCCCUCGGCUUAACCGGGGAACUGCGUCUGAUACUGGAUGGCUCGAGUUUGGGAGAGGGAUGCGGAAUUCCAGGUGUAGCGGUGAAAUGCGUAGAUAUCUGGAGGAACACCGGUGGCGAAGGCGGCAUCCUGGACCAACACUGACACUGAAAAGCGAAAGCCAGGGAGCAAACGGG